GACGAACGCUGGCGGCGUGCUUAACACAUGCAAGUCGAACGGAAAGGCCCUGCUUUUGUGGUGUUCUCGAUUGGCGAACGGGUGAGUAACACGUGAGUAACCUGCCCUUGACUUUGGUAUAACUUCAGGAAACUGGGGCUAAUCCCGUAUAGCAUCUCCUGCUGCAUGGUGGGCGUUGGAACGUUUCGGCGGUUGGGGAUGGACUGGCGGCUUAUGAGCUUGUUGGUUGGGGAGUGGUUUACCAAGGCUUUGGCGGGUAGCCGGCCUGAGAGGGUGACCGGGCACAAGGGGACUGAGAUACGGAGCAGUGGCGUAUGGGGGGCAGUAGGGGGGAGUAUGGCACAAUGGGAGGAAGUCGGAGGCAGAAACGUCCCGGGCGGGAUGACGGCUUGUGGGGUGAGAACCGCUGUAGCCUGUGACGAAGCGGGAGUGACGGUAAUGGGUAAAGAAGCACCGGCUAACUACGUG
rnacentral:rRNA from 1 species